rnacentral:rRNA from 1 species
AGAGCGAACGCUGGCGGCAGGCCUAAUACAUGCAAGUCGAACGGAUCCUUCGGGAUUAGUGGCGGACGGGUGAGUAACACGUGGGAACGUGCCCUUUGGUUCAGAACAACUCAGGGAAACUUGAGCUAAUACUGGAUAAGCCCUUCGGGGGAAAGAUUUAUCGCCAUUGGAGCGGCCCGCGUCUGAUUAGCUAGUUGGUAGGGUAAAGGCCUACCAAGGCUACGAUCAGUAGCUGGUCUGAGAGGAUGAUCAGCCACACUGGGACUGAGACACGGCCCAGACUCCUACGGGAGGCAGCAGUAGGGAAUCUUGCGCAAUGGGCGAAAGCCUGACGCAGCCAUGCCGCGUGAAUGAUGAAGGUCUUAGGAUUGUAAAAUUCUUUCAGCGGGGACAUAAUGACGGUACCCGCAGAGAAGCCCCGGCUAACUUCGUGCCAGCAGCCGC